rnacentral:rRNA from 1 species
UGGGGAAUUUUGGACAAUGGACGCAAGUCUGAUCCAGCCAUGCCGCGUGCGGGAAGAAGGCCUUCGGGUUGUAAACCGCUUUUGUCAGGGAAGAAAAGGUUCUGGUUAAUACCUGGGACUCAUGACGGUACCUGAAGAAUAAGCACCGGCUAACUACGUGCCAGCAGCCGCGGUAAUACGUAGGGUGCAAGCGUUAAUCGGAAUUACUGGGCGUAAAGCGUGCGCAGGCGGUUAUGCAAGACAGAGGUGAAAUCCCCGGGCUCAACCUGGGAACUGCCUUUGUGACUGCAUAGCUAGAGUACGGUAGAGGGGGAUGGAAUUCCGCGUGUAGCAGUGAAAUGCGUAGAUAUGCGGAGGAACACCGAUGGCGAAGGCAAUCCCCUGGACCUGUACUGACGCUCAUGCACGAAAGCGUGGGGAGCAAACAGGAUUAGAUACCCUGGUAGUCCCUGAGCGGGCUGGCAAGGCGCAU